CCGGCCGAGGAUGAGCCCGCGGCCGAUUAGCUUGUUGGUGAGGUAACGGCUCACCAAGGCGACGAUCGGUAGCUGGUCUGAGAGGACGAUCAGCCACACUGGGACUGAGACACGGCCCAG
rnacentral:rRNA from 1 species